rnacentral:rRNA from 1 species
GACGAACGCUGGCGGCGUGCUUAACACAUGCAAGUCGAACGGAAAGGCCCUGCUUUUGUGGGGUGCUCGAGUGGCGAACGGGUGAGUAACACGUGAGUAACCUGCCCUUGACUUUGGGAUAACUUCAGGAAACUGGGGCUAAUACCGGAUAGGAGCUCCUGCUGCAUGGUGGGGGUUGGAAAGUUUCGGCGGUUGGGGAUGGACUCGCGGCUUAUCAGCUUGUUGGUGGGGUAGUGGCUUACCAAGGCUUUGACGGGUAGCCGGCCUGAGAGGGUGACCGGCCACAUGGGAACGGGGUAACGGCCGAAACUCCGCGGGGGGGCAGGGGGGGGGAAAAUGGACCAAGGGGCGGAGCCCUGGUGCGGCAGCGCCGGGGGGGGGAGGACGGCCUUCGGGUUGUAAACCGUUUCCCCGUUGUACGAAGGGUGGGGGGGGGAAAUGGGGAAAGAACCCCGGGUUAAUUAGGG